AUUGAACGCUGGCGGCAGGCCUAACACAUGCAAGUCGAGCGGUAACAGAUUGAUAGCUUGCUAUCAAUGCUGACGAGCGGCGGACGGGUGAGUAAUGCCUGGGAAUAUACCCUGAUGUGGGGGAUAACUAUUGGAAACGAUAGCUAAUACCGCAUAAUCUCUUCGGAGCAAAGAGGGGGACCUUCGGGCCUCUCGCGUCAGGAUUAGCCCAGGUGGGAUUAGCUAGUUGGUGGGGUAAUGGCUCACCAAGGCGACGAUCCCUAGCUGGUCUGAGAGGAUGAUCAGCCACACUGGAACUGAGACACGGUCCAGACUCCUACGGGAGGCAGCAGUGGGGAAUAUUGCACAAUGGGGGAAAACAUGAUGCAGCCAUGCCGCGUGUAUGAAGAAGGCCUUCGGGUUGUAAAGUACUUUCAGUUGUGAGGAAGGCGUUGGAGUUAAUAGCUUUAGCGUUUGACGUUAGCAACAGAAGAAGCACCGGCUAACUACGUG
rnacentral:rRNA from 1 species